rnacentral:rRNA from 1 species
AUUGAACGCUGGCGGCAUGCCUUACACAUGCAAGUCGAACGGCAGCGGACCUUCGGGUGCCGGCGAGUGGCGAACGGGUGAGUAAUAUAUCGGAACGUACCUUUCAGUGGGGGAUAACGUAGCGAAAGUUACGCUAAUACCGCAUAUUCUGUGAGCAGGAAAGCAGGGGAUCGCAAGACCUUGCGCUGAUUGAGCGGCCGAUAUCAGAUUAGCUAGUUGGUGAGGUAAAGGCUCACCAAGGCGACGAUCUGUAGCGGGUCUGAGAGGAUGAUCCGCCACACUGGAACUGAGACACGGUCCAGACUCCUACGGGAGGCAGCAGUGGGGAAUUUUGGACAAUGGGCGCAGGCCUGAUCCAGCCAUGCCGCGUGAGUGAAGAAGGCCUCGG